rnacentral:lncRNA from 1 species
UACAGUGAAUAAGCCGUUUUUAUUUUUUUUUUUUUAAUUUUUUUUUUUUUGUCCUGUGCUCACAACAAUCUCUCUUCUCUCCCUGACAGGUCACAGAUCAUUCAAAUCAAAAAAAAAAAGAGUUUCUAAGAGGAAACAAAAAAGAAAUAAUUUAAAGCACACGCACAGGGCUCUCUCUCCCUUCCAACCUCCCCACAUCCCAACUUGUGCUUCAUUCCUGGGGACCGGAGGGGCUCGAGGCUCCCACCGGCCAAUCCCAGCUCCAAGCAUUCCCGAAAAAACCUGGAAAACAUUCCCACGAACCCACACGCAUCGUGCCAGCGGGCCUUCCCUGCUGCUUCUCCAGGUGCAAGGACCACCCUGGAGCCUGCUCGGAUCCCGUGCACAGGACCGGCUCGGAAAAGCCGUUAUUUCGUUUUAUUCAUUUUUUUAAGCUUUUUUUUUUUUUAAUUUAUUAUUUCUAUUUUUUUUUUAAUUUCUAUUUUGGUUUUUUUUUGUGUGUUUUGUUUUGUUUUCUCUGGUUGCUGGUAAAGUCAGAACGCUCCCAGCUGUGCUAUAUGGAAAUACAGCUCUAGGACGGUCUCCGAGGUGUGGAGACCUGACAGUGAUCAAGGCACUACCCCCACCCCCCUCCUGAAAAACAAAGGAAGUCAGACCAACACCUCUAGGGACAGAAGAGAAUCCUAUAAUGUCAUCACACGGUUACACGGAAUCUUUAUGGCAAAGAGAACAUUGAGCAGCUUUCAACGUUUGGGCUUCUCCCUUUUUUUUUAAUUUUUUUGGCUUUUUUUUUUUACUUUUUGUAAUUUUUUUUUAGGUUUUUUUGUUUGUUUUUUACUCAACACAAGCAACUUCUAGACCCUAAAAGGGAGGAGGGAAAAAAAAAAAAACAAAUCAAGGCUGGAACCCCCAAAAAAACCCCAAAAAAGCGUGGUUACAGGGAGCUGCAGCUGUGUAACGCUCGAGGGGACAGCCCCGGUUGGCAUCGGGGUCCCAGCGCUCCCCUUGUGCUGUUCCUGACCCAAAACCCCUUCCCAGGAGAGGCAGGCGGGGGCUGAGCGCUGGGGAAGGAUCCUGCUGCUCCUCCCUCCCUUUCCCCAUCCCAAAGCUCUGCAGAUCCCCCCUCCUUGUCCUUUCCCCGGGCUGGAAAGGGUUAAUGGGAGUCCCGCCUGGCUCUGCUCUGCUCGGGAUGGAAAGGGUUAAUGGAAGCCACGCCGCUUUUUUUGCUUUUUUUGUGUCUCUCCACGUGUGCCCUGGUCUGAUCUCCAUCGAGGAAGGAGAAAUCUGGAAUAUCUCACACACACCGAUGGCAAAAAAAAAAAAACGGGGUCGGGAUAAAAGGAAAAAAGGGGAAAAAAAAACCCAAAAAGAACAAAAAAAAAAAAAAAAAAAAUUAAAA